UGACCUCGGAUCAGGUAGGAUA
rnacentral:rRNA from 1 species